UACGGGGGGGGCAAGCGUUGUUCGGAAUUACUGGGCGUAAAGGGUUCGUAGGUGGCCAACUAAGUCAGACGUGAAAUCCCUCAGCUUAACUGGGGAACUGCGUCUGAUACUGGUUGGCUUGAGUGCAGGAGAGGAACGCGGAAUUCCAGGUGUAGCGGUGAAAUGCGUAGAUAUCUGGAGGAACACCGGUGGCGAAGGCGGCGUUCUGGACUGCAACUGACACUGAGGAACGAAAGCCAGGGAGCAAACGGG
rnacentral:rRNA from 1 species